ACCAAUGGCCAUUUUCUUGGAAAGGCAAAAUGUAGGAGCAUGAGCUGAUCUGGGGGAGAGACCAUCCAACGACUCAAUUCUGUGGAGCCCCCGUUUCAGCCACAAAACAUCAGGAAGACAGGGAGGGGGGACAUCCAAACAUACAGAUAGAUGGACAGACAGCUUUCAGAUCCAAUUAGACUUCCUGGUUUUAUGUCAUACUGGACGUGCCUACAUGUAGCAAGAAAACACAGCCCUAGCCUUACUGGAAACAAGAAGUACUUAAAGGUUCAUGAAAAUAAAGAGAGAGAGGGAGAGACCGAAUCCCAAGC